CUGAUGAAGAGAGAGAGAGAGAGAGCAGCUCUGAGCAACACUGAAAAGAAGAGUCACGUCGAGAAGAUGCCAGACAAAAUACAAAGUGAAGAGGAAAAAUCGGAGCAGAUAACUUGUAUGCAAAUAUAGAUGGGACUGAUUUCUCCCGCACGGAUAAAAAACUUACCACAGAUUCUUAAACCAAAGGCUGCAGAUAUUGGUUGAGGUAACUGAUGUUUGCUCUUUUAUGUCGGAAGGGAUGGAGAUAUUUAAAGCCUGAGCAAAAUGGUACCCUGAUGCCUCCACCUCCCACCAAUCCAGCUCUUCUUUGGAACUUAUUGCAGGUUCGUUCUGACCUUUGACCGCUUAUCUUGCCAUCUCUGUCUAUUCUUCCCUUGGCUUGAUCUUUAGGUCUUCCAAGAAGGCGUCUUUCAGAAGCAAGCAAAAGCUGUCUUCCAGUAAAAAGAGAAUCAGUCUUCCAUUAGAAAGGUCUUUCAGCUUGUAUUGCAACAUUGAAGGAAAUCGUAAUUACUUAAGUUCCAUCUUUAAGUGAAAAAUGACUGGCAUUUCUGAGAGAAAGCAGAAAGGAUCAUUUCUUCAACCAAGAAUAACAACUUCUGUCAUCCUACAUUUAGACACAGUUGAUUAAAUUCAACACAAGCUGGCCAAGGCGAGCAUCCAAUGCCUACUUGACGAAUGAGGGCAGCAGGAUCGACGAACUUUAGAAUGACGACUUUACAGCAAAAAAUAACACAACCAUAAACCAGCUUCGUCACACAACAGAUCAACAAGCUACAUUUCUCUGUACAUUCGGAUGCUAACUCACUUUUGUUCUCGAAAAAGAUAUUGAGUUUUAGAUAAGACGUCAAGAAGCAAAAAAGCAGGAGGAUUGAUCUAAAACAUCUUUACAGCUAAGAAGAAUUUUUUAAGAAGCAGAAUCUGGUGAUAAUUGUGACAGAACUGGACCAGGCGGACGACAAGGUGCAGGGGCACAGGACCAGGGCUGCAAGGGGCUUCCAAAGGCUGUCACAGGUCCUGAAAGCAUGGAUCCAAUACAGGAAUAAACAACAGGACGGGAAGUAUCACCUUACCGACUGGUACAAUGUGUGCAGGCUUGGCGCCCCCUGGAGGUGGCGAUCAGUGAUAUUAAACAUGCUCCCCCAUGGCCAUCCUCACAGGUGCCGGGCCAUUGUGGAGGAGUCAGAGAACGAUCGGGAGGAGAGGAUUCUUGCAAUACUAGGGAUUAUUGGGACUGUGCUAAACCUACUGGUAGUCAUCUUUGUCUACAUCUAUACCACUUUUUAAGAUCCUAGGUUACAGGAUGCCCUCAUCAGCUAGAGGAAUGGCAAAGGGGCAGAGAAGAACAACUGUGGGAAAAGACUUUCCAACAAAAACCUACAAGCAGUGCCUGAUCUGUUCAGUCGGUCUACAAAAUGCAGCAUUUAGGCUAAAAGAUAUGCUGAGAUGUUUUAGAUUCAGAUUAGUAUAAAAGAUUAUAUUUCAUUUGUUUAUUAUUAUUCCAUGUAUCUGUUCAUUUUGUAUAGUCUUAAUAUUAACUGCAUGUUGUCUGAUUUCUGACAUAACUAUUGCCGUAUAUGCUGUUUCUUUCAGAUUUGUGUAAAGUUCACUUACAGCUGACCUGAUGUUGUCUGGGUCCAGAAAAGAUAAAGAUCUACAGUACAGGGGAUAUUAAGGCACUUAAUUCUGCUUUUAAGCAUGCAGAGUUACAGUAGGAGAGAGUCUCUUUAUUAGAUUUGUCGAUUUACUGCUUUAGUCAGAUUUCUCUCAAUAUGAAGCACAACACGGCAGAAUAAUAACUUUGAUUUGUUCUCAGCAAUUUAGCAGGCUAAGCAAAACUGGGAACUGAUAACUGAUGGCCUCUUUUGUUGCUGUCACACUCAUAAUGUACCCUUUCUACUUAAUGUACUUUUUGACGAAUUUAAACCUGAGAUAAUAGUGCUGUAAUAGUUUUGUAUAACAAAUGUGGUAAGAAAUUCUGCACAAUAAGAGAUAUGAAUAAUUUUGAAAUAAUAGAAAAGACAGUGUUAUAAGAAUAAUAAUGUUUUGAAAGAAAAUGAAAGAAAAUGAAUAAAGUAAAAGAGAAACUGCA